UACGUAUGGUGCAAGCGUUGUUCGGAAUGACUGGGCGUAAAGGGUGCGUAGGCGGUGUAGCAAGUUAGAAGUGAAAUACCUAGAGCUUAACUCAGGUGCUGCUUCUAAAACUGCUAUACUUGAGUGCAGUAGAGGAAAGUGGAAUUCCUAGUGUAGCGGUGGAAUGCGUAGAUAUUAGGAGGAACAUCAGUGGCGAAGGCGACUUUCUGGACUGUAACUGACGCUGAGGCACGAAAGUGUGGGGAGCAAACAGG
rnacentral:rRNA from 1 species